rnacentral:rRNA from 1 species
UACGGAGGAGGCAAGCGUUAUCCGGAAUUAUUGGGCGUAAAGCGUCCGUAGAUGGUUUUGUCAGUCUGCUGUCAAAGCACAGGGCUUAACCCUGUAAAGGCAGUGGAAACUACAAGACUAGAGUGCAGUAGGGGCAGAGGGAAUUCCCAGUGUAGCGGUGAAAUGCGUAGAGAUUGGGAAGAACAUCCGUGGCGAAAGCGGCUCUCUGGAACGGUACUGACGCUGAGACGCGAAAGCGUGGGGAGCGAACAGG